CUUAAAAUUAUUUAAGAUCCAUUUUUUUUACUUCUUGAGUAAAUUACACAAAUAUGAAUAGAAGAACUAAAUAGAGAAGAAAGCAAAAUAGCAAAGGUGAACCAUAGAACAUGAAUCUUAACUCCAAUGUAACCAAGAACCCUAAACUUUAUCCUAUCGCCAACCAUUGUAUCUCUGAAAAGCUCAAUUACAUCAGACAAAUGAAUGACGUGAACAGCAAAAGCAGACGAAGGUAGACAUGAGACGAAUAGAAGAAGCUUUUAGCUUGUUUUCGAGUCUUUAAAACAAGCACUGAGAAGAUCCACCAUGAGCUGAUAGCUGA
rnacentral:lncRNA from 1 species